CAGUAGCCACGGUAAUACAGAGGGUGCGAGCGUUAAUCGGAUUUACUGGGCGUAAAGCGUGCGUAGGCGGCUUCUUAAGUCGGAUGUGAAAUCCCUGAGCUUAACUUAGGAAUUGCAUUCGAUACUGGGAAGCUAGAGUAUGGGAGAGGAUGGUAGAAUUCCAGGUGUAGCGGUGAGAUGCGUAGAGAUCUGGAGGAAUACCGAUGGCGAAGGCAGCCAUCUGGCCUAAUACUGACGCUGAGGUACGAAAGCAUGGGGAGCAAACAGGAUUAGAUACCCCCGUAGUCCCUGUCUCUUAUAC
rnacentral:rRNA from 1 species